CCUACGGGCGGCAGCAGUGAGGAAUAUUGGUCAAUGGACGAGAGUCUGAACCAGCCAAGUAGCGUGAAGGAUGACUGCCCUAUGGGUUGUAAACUUCUUUUAUAUGGGAAUAAAAUGUUCCACGUGUGGGAUUUUGUAUGUACCAUAUGAAUAAGGAUCGGCUAACUCCGUGCCAGCAGCCGCGGUAAUACGGAGGAUCCGAGCGUUAUCCGGAUUUAUUGGGUUUAAAGGGAGCGUAGGUGGAUUGUUAAGUCAGUUGUGAAAGCCUGCGCCCCCCCCGCAAAAUUGCAGUUGCACCUGGCAGUCUGGAGUACAGUAGAGGUGGGCGGAAUGCGUGGUGUAGCGGUGAAAUGCUUAGAUAGCACGAAGAAGUCCGAGUGCGAAGGCAGCUCACUGGACUGCAACUGACACUGAGGCUCGAAAGUGUGGGUAUCAAACAGGAUUAGAUACCCCUGUAGGC
rnacentral:rRNA from 1 species